rnacentral:rRNA from 1 species
CAGUCGCCGCGGGAAUACGAAGGGGGCUAGCGUUGUUCGGAUUUACUGGGCGUAAAGCGCACGUAGGCGGACUUUUAAGUCAGGGGUGAAAUCCCGGGGCUCAACCCCGGAACUGCCUUUGAUACUGGAAGUCUUGAGUAUGGUAGAGGUGAGUGGAAUUCCGAGUGUAGAGGUGAAAUUCGUAGAUAUUCGGAGGAACACCGGUGGCGAAGGCGGAUCACUGGACCAUUACUGACGCUGAGGUGCGAAAGCGUGGGGAGCAAACAGGAUUAGAUACCCCCGUAGUCCCUGUCUCUUAUAA